GCGAAAAACUUAUUUUCAGCAACCAAAAAAAAUUAGUCUCCAAAUUAGUACUUUUAGCGACUAAUAUAUUAGUCGCCGUUGAUUGAGAUUUGGCGACUAAAAAAAUUUGUCGGCGAAAGAACCUAUUUUUGCUACUAAUUUGAGAGUUUAGUCGCCAAAAGUUUGGGGGGAAAUUUGAAACGUGGGGCGGGAAUUGAAUUUCAGAAAAAAAAAUUCCAGAUUGGGGUAAUUUUUUACUUCACACACUGUUGAUGCAUCAAUCGAACCCAGAUUGGGGUAAUUUAGUUUAACUCGUCUCCUCCCAUUCCCUCUCUGUCUUUCUCUCCCUCUCUGUUCUUCUUUUCUACCCUCCCUCUUGCGCUCGCUCCCGAUGCUAGCCUCGAUUUCUGCCUCUCCCCCAUUCUCUCUCAGUGUCUUCAAGUCGCAAUCCUCCCACUCGCAAGGUAGGGUUUCCGAUUGUGAAUCGCGACAUUGUGCUUUGAUUGGGUCACCGAAGGCUAGGGUUUCCACCAUCACAGCCACCUUCAUCAUCAUCUGCUUCCUCAAAUUCUACAUUGACGCCGCUGUCUUCUCUUUCUCUCUCUGCUUCGAACCCCCAUGGGAGCUCUCCGGGUACUGCAUCAGUUUCUGAAAAUCAGGAUGCGACUUCGCUGUUGUAAGGUCCUGUUGAUGAGUCCAAAAAUCACCUCCCUGAUAUUCUCUGUGUUAUCCAGGUUUGUUUCUUUUUUAUGUGACACACACACCAGUAUUUACACACCAGUAUUUAAGGAUUGGUAAUCUUUUUUAGAAAUUGAAUGACUUUGGUCUUAUUAUACAUUCAUGAGGAAGGUAAUCAAAAAAGAAAGAAGACGAGUUCUUUGUUUUAUCACUUAGGAGCAGUGUGAGAUGAAAGUCUCAUGCACGGUUUUGAAUGAGAGAAACAAGUGAGGAGAUGUCUGCAACUCUUUUUUGUUACUGCAAACAUUAUUCUAUUGUGACUUCUUUGACAUGACAUGAAUAUCCAUUUCGCCCCUUUUAUACAUCCUUUUGGUGCAAUGUUUUCUCCUCUUUAACCAGACUUCCAUAUCAAUCAAAUACUAUUGUUGCUAGAGUUCUGUCCUCUUCAUAAUAAACUAUAACGUGGAACAUUUACUAAGCAUAAGAGUUUGGAAAAAUAAGUAUGUUCUUGAAGGAAAUAGGCUGUAACAUGUUAAAAGACACCUGCUUGCAAGGGAAUUGGCUCUAAAUUAAGAAGUUAAUUUGCAGUUCAUCUCUAUUCCCUUUCUUAUAAACACAUUCUCAUCAUUCCCCAAUCCCUUAUGUUAUAUUUCCUUACCAUGAUAAUCUCUUAAUAGUAUCCUCUGUCUUUGUGGUCAUUUUCUGAAAACCUUUUUUCUCCUUGCUUCUUGUUUUUUUGGUUGAAAAGAGCUAUCCAUUAGUGCUUUCUUGUAUAACUUCAUCCAUUUCUGCUGGAAUUAUGCUUGAUAUUAAUUCUAGAUCAUCUUGGGGGAUCUUUAAAUUUAUGAUGACGCCUCAUGCUAGUUCAACUGAUAAUGGAAAAUCACUAAACCAUAGUAACAUUUGCCACAAUGUCAACAAUGUAUUCAUUCUACAGUCAA